rnacentral:rRNA from 1 species
AGUGAACGCUGGCGGCAGGCUUAACACAUGCAAGUCGAACGGCAGCACCGUAAGUGUUUGCUCUUACCGGUUGCGAGUGGCGGACGUGUGAGGAAUAUAUCGGACCCUACUCUUUCGUGGGGGUUAACGUAGGGAAACCUACGCUAAUAUCGCAUAUGCUCUUCGGUUGAAAGCAUGGGAUCUUCGGACCUGGUGCGAAUGAACGAGCGGAUGUUGGACUAGCUAGUUGGCGGGGUAAAUGCCCACCAAGGCGGCGAUCCGUAGCUGGACUGAGUGGAUGGUCGGCCACACUGGAACUGGGACACGGUCCAGACUCCUACGGGAGGCAGCAGUGGGGAAUAUUAGACAGUGGGCGCAAGCCUGAUCCAGCCAUACCGCGUGGGUGAAGAAGGCCUUCGGGUUGUAAAGCCCUUUUGUUGGGAAAGAAAAGCAGCAGGUUAAUACCCCGCUGUUCUGACGGUACCCAAAGAAUAAGCACCGGCUAACUUCGUG